GUGAAUGUCAUGACACAUCACAGGUUCCAGGAUUAAGUCUCUGAGAAGCUGCAACAGUACCUUGUGGGGAGCCAAGGCAGGACACAGCAUUCCCAGUGCAAUCUCGUAAGUGCUGAAUAUGGAGGAAUAAUCACUUCCCUCAACCUGCUGGCUACAUGCUUGCUGAAACAGCCCAGUGUUUGGGGUUGAAUCACAAGGAGGAGGUGGAGCCAAACUCUGGUUCAUCAGACAUUAUGAAGGUUGCCAUGCCCUUGUCUGAGGAGUGGAACCCCAUGGACCAAACCUCUGAAACAAAGAUGUAACCAGCUGGGGACAUAGUAGACCAGCAGUUGUAAGUUCCUAUUAGACAAGAUAAUGUUUGUUAUCUGGGAUCUCCCUUUCCAAAAUACUUUUUUCCUCUUCUUGUCUCAUCUCUUGUCCCAAAACAAACUUUUAACCUAUACCCUAUCUUAGAAGCAGCAUACUGCCUGGUGAAGAAAUUGAAGCUCAUAAAGUUGGUGUAAAUAUAUUGCAAAAUAUUUGUACUUUCUCCUUAAAGGAAGAGCAGUGCUCACAUUCCCAUAGGACAGCUUGCUGAGUCGUAUCCAGUUGCC